AUUGAACGCUGGCGGCAUGCCUUACACAUGCAAGUCGAACGGCAGCACGGGUGCUUGCACCUGGUGGCGAGUGGCGAACGGGUGAGUAAUACAUCGGAACAUGUCCUGUAGUGGGGGAUAGCCCGGCGAAAGCCGGAUUAAUACCGCAUACGAUCUACGGAUGAAAGCGGGGGACCUUCGGGCCUCGCGCUAUAGGGUUGGCCGAUGGCUGAUUAGCUAGUUGGUGGGGUAAAGGCCUACCAAGGCGACGAUCAGUAUCUGGUCUGAGAGGACGACCAGCCACACUGGGACUGAGACACGGCCCAGACUCCUACGGGAGGCAGCAGUGGGGAAUUUUGGACAAAGGGCGAAAGCCUGAUCCAGCAAUGCCGCGUGUGUGAAGAAGGCCUUCGGGUUGUAAAGCACUUUUGUCCGGAAAGAAAUCCUUGGCCCUAAUACGGUCGGGGGAUGACGGUACCGGAAGAAUAAGCACCGGCUAACUACGUG
rnacentral:rRNA from 1 species